AGUCCAGUUCACAAAGUACUAGAGGGAGGGUGGCAACAUGUUUUGGGGGCGGGCUAUUUCAGUGUGGGUGAGUCAUAUGGAAUGUGCCCAGCUUAGACUCACUCGCAGCCGGACCAGUUUGUUCAGCAGCAGCUGGUGACUCCCGUCCAGCAGCGGAAGUAUGGGCACUCUUAUGUUCAGGCUGACGCUGGGAGGAAGGCAAGGCCAUUUACAGGGAACUCCUGUCCCCGCCUCCGCCUAGCUCCUCAACUAGUGCUGCACGAUAUUCUUGAUCUCUGCAGAGACAAACCCAGUCUCUGCCCUGCUAAGCUCUAGAGGCUGGUCCCUCCCCCAAGAUCAGCCACCAGUGAGCAGCAUUCUAUUUUCACAGACCACCCCUACUUCUCAACCUUCUUCCUCCUUUGGGGCGCCAACCCCAAAAUACCACCAUUCCCAAGAUGGAAAAUCAGUUUAUGCUGAUGCUGGUCCUAACAGUGCCGCAGAUCCCCUGUUCACUGGCCUCACUCAAGUUAGUGAUGUGGCUGCGCUACCCGUCUCUCAUUCUGUCAGCAGGACAAGGUUGAAGCCCACUCGCUGCAGGCUGACCCCAGAAGUGCAGGAAGAGUGUUCUCUUGGCCUGAGCUGCAGCGGAGCUUUAACAAAUGCCUGGAUUAAGAUUGAAAGGUUGGAUUUGGGCAGUUUGAUCUGUUCAUGAAAGAGAUGUUAAACAGCGCAGCUGAUGUUUGCCCAGCAAAUUACAGCCUGCUGAAGGGAAAUGUCAACAGACAUUGGCCCUCCAGUAAAUCCAUCCAAUUUCUAUCAUGUGUUUGCACACUUAGUUGAGAUGUGAACAUCGGGCAUCAGACAAGCUGAGUGUACAAGUAAAUAAAACGAAAUAAAAAAAAUAAUGCAGAGCCUGAGACAAAAUCCUACAGUUGUCUCCCCUGCAGUCAGGAAGAUUGGGUUGGAAUCUGCUUUACUUCUCAGAGAGCAAAUCAGCUCCAAACUCCUGCACACAAUGCAUACUCUCCCGAGCUCCCCUUUCUAGCACUGCCUAAAGGCUGGAUUGCCAUGCUUAAACCACUGACUACUGUACAGCUGAAAUAUAGAUGAGAUUUAAAUGCAUAGUAUAAGCCAUAGGAAAAUUGGUUGCAAAUAUUCCAAAAAGAAAAUGUAUAGUAAUCUGUCCUUGUAACUGCAUGAAAAAACAGGACAGCUUCAUCACCACUGCUGGAGGUCCGAUAAUGAUCUUCUGUAUACAGAGCAGCCCUUGCUAAUAACCCCGAACAACAGACUUCUGCAUAAAAUCACACAUCUAUGUGUUGCCUCAGUAGAGAUAAUGCCCCUGAGUACGACCAAACCUCAAAUGAAAGGAUUUUCUGUAAAAAUGGAGUUAUUAGGUUUGUAUGGAGGAUUCACAAAUAGCCAUAUUUACUUUUUUUUGUUGGAUUAAUGAAGUCAUUUUGAAACAAUUCUACAUCUUUGAUUUGUUCUCUUGGCUUUGCCGGCAGAUAAUCUUUCCAUCUCUCAGUGUUCCUGCCUCAAUACGGAACAAUGAAGGGUAUGUAUGCAGAAGUAAUAUCUGCUAUGAAACCUUCCGAUUUUUGUAGCUCUCAUUUGAGAGAACUAUUCAUGAUUUUUUGAUCAUUUCAGCCACCCUGCUGUGCACGGUCAGAGAAUAUCUCCAUCUUUUUGAUAUUGUAUCACAUUUUAUUUUUAUUAUCAUGCUCCUUUGGGUGCAGAAAAGGUGUCUUUAUGACUUUUGUGACCAUGAUGCUGGGGAAGAAAGGAAACUACCAUGUUCAUUUUCAGAACAAGCCUUCCCCAGUAAAAUCACUGUGACAUAUUCAAUCAGAACCACUGAGAAACUGCUUGCAACCUGAACUGGCUGAAGAAAUUGCAACCAUUGCAAAACACACUUCAAUUGUUGUUUAGAUGCCCAGGACUGGUUCAGUUGUUUUUUUUAACUCAUCAAUGAAUUCGUUUUCACCAGUCAAAUGCAAAUUGCACCAAUUACAAAUACUAAAAAGUCACUCACUAGCUGUAGGUUAUGAAGAUGGACAGUGCAUUUCAUCUGGCAAAAUAUGUUUAUGGGUUUUUUUCUCCACUCAUCACAUAGACAUACUAUAUACCUCCUAACUGUCCUAAUUCCAGGGAAACAGUCCUGAUUGCAAGUUCUGUCCUUCUACCAGAUUAGCCAAGCAGUUAAAGGGCUGGUUCAGGGCAGCGGAACUACAGGGCAUGCUCCCAUGAUACAUGGCCAUAUCUCCUGAUGCAUGGCUACCCACCUCUUCUCAGGUGUGCACUGUGCAAUGAUGCCCUGCUUCAACCAGUACAAAUGUUGGAAGAUAUGAAUACACAAAUGCUGGCCUCCAUUCAACUUUUGGAACAUGUCCUUGUAUAAAUGUCCCAUGCAUCUUUUUGAGGAUUGUCAUCCCAGUUUGAAAGAGUAAAAAUGUAAUUUCAUUGUCCAGCCUCGUAUCACUUUGUCAUAUUAAACUUUUCCUUUUUAAUCCUAAAAACUGCUGUGCCAUGCCUCAUUAACUCAUUUACAGUAUGCGCUAACUAGAUUUAGCGGAUAUGGAGACUGUCUUUAUUACAUGCCUUUCUUACUGUUUUUAUCACAGGUGCCACAUCUGUCCAGUUAGGUACCGUGUUCUCUGUGUUCCUAUUGGCAAUAUUGGAAAUAAAUAAAAAAAAAACAUUCUAGAAGUGUGU